UAGCCUUAGUUUAAGAAGAAGGUUUUAGAAAACGAGGGCAGAGAGACAUUUUCGAAAAAGAGAUUUUGAAAGAGGUGUUAUAUAUGCAAGCAAGAGAAUAACAACAACGGCUCACAAUAUAUAACUACUGUUAGGGAGAAAGAAAGAGAGUAUG